UACGUAGGGGGCGAGCGUUGUCCGAAGUUACUGGGCGUAAAGCGCGCGUAGGCGGUCAUUUAAGUCUGAGGUGAAAGGUUCAGCGCUCAACGUGAACAGUGCCUUGGAUACUGGGUGACUUGAGUUCGGGAGGGGGCAGUGGAAUUCCAGGUGUAGCGGUGAAAUGCGUAGAGAUGUGGAGGAACACCAGUGGCGAAGGCGGCUCACUGGCCCGGUACUGACGCUGAGGUGCGAAAGCGUGGGGAGCAAACAGG
rnacentral:rRNA from 1 species